rnacentral:tRNA from 1 species
GCCCAUCUAGCUCAGUCGGUAGAGCGCAAGGCUCUUAACCUUGUGGUCCUGGGUUCAAGUCCCAGGGUGGGCG